GCUCUUGAUAGUUCAGUUGGUAGAGCAUGAGACUCUUAAUCUCAGAGUUGUGGGUUCAAGCCCCACAUUGAGCA